rnacentral:rRNA from 1 species
UACGUAGGGUGCGAGCGUUGUCCGGAAUUAUUGGGCGUAAAGAGCUCGUAGGCGGUCUGUCGCGUCUGCUGUGAAAACCCGAGGCUCAACCUCGGGCCUGCAGUGGGGUACGGGGCAGACUAGAGUGCGGUAGGGGAGAAUGGAAUUCCUGGUGUAGCGGUGGGAAUGCGCAGAUAUCAGGAAGAACCACCCGUGGCGAAGGCGGCUCUCUGGAAACGCAACUGACGCUGAGAGCGAAAAGCUGGGUAGCAAACAGG